GAAGUUCGCCAGGCAGUCGCUGCGUGCCAUGUGUGCGUGGAGGAAAGUCCGGGCCCCGCAGAGCAGGAUGCCGGCUAACGGCCGGGCGCCGUGAGGCGACGGAAAGUGCAACAGAGAGCAGACCGCCGAUGGCUCUUGUCGAGGAGUUCGCUCUUCGCGGAGCACAGGUAAGGGUGAAACGGUGCGGUGACGCGCGCAAGCGCGGCGCCGGUCGGAGCGCAAGCUUCGGCGGGUAAGAGCCCACCGCAGGACUGGCAACAGGACUGGCACGGUAAACCCCAUCCGGGGCAAGGCCAAAUAGGGGAGCAUUGGCGUGGCUCGCGUCGCUCCCGGGUAGGCUGCUAGAGCGCCGCGGUAACGCGGCCCCCAGAGGAAUGACUGCCCGGCGACUGCGGCUUGCCGCGGUCGUUCGACAGAACCCGGCUUAUCGGCGAACUUCCCAA
rnacentral:RNase_P_RNA from 2 species